CUACGGGAGGCAGCAGUGGGGAAUAUUGCACAAUGGGCGCAAGCCUGAUGCAGCCAUGCCGCGUGUAUGAAGAAGGCCUUCGGGUUGUAAAGCACUUUCAGCGGGGAGGAAGGGAGUAAAGUUAAUACCUUUGCUCAUUGACGUUACCCGCAGAAGAAGCACCGGCUAACUCCGUGCCAGCAGCCGCGGUAAUACGGAGGGUGCAAGCGUUAAUCGGAAUUACUGGGCGUAAAGCGCACGCAGGCGGUUUGUUAAGUCAGAUGUGAAAUCCCCGGGCUCAACCUGGGAACUGCAUCUGAUACUGGCAAGCUUGAGUCUCGUAGAGGGGGGUAGAAUUCCAGGUGUAGCGGUGAUAUGCGUAGAGAUCUGGAGGAAUACCGGUGGCGAAGGCGGCCCCCUGGACGAAGACUGACGCUCAGGUGCGAAAGCGUGGGGAGCAAACAGGAUUAGAUACCCCCGUAGUC
rnacentral:rRNA from 1 species